rnacentral:piRNA from 1 species
UGUGCUGAUUGCUUCAGGCUAUUUCAGAC